GAGAAAAAAGAUGCCCAUCAAACUCUAAACAUUUUUCUCUCGUGGGCCACACAUCAAACUCCAUGCAUUUGUUCUGAUAUGUCUGCUGAAAUUUUUACAAAUAGGUGCCCCCAUAUACGUGAGGAGGAGGCUAGGUCGGGACGUCGAGCACGAGAGUUUAUCCGACUUCAUUCGAGGUACCAGUGAGAAUCGCGGGAAGGCGCCGGCAUGAUCUGUACACACUUGCGGAGUUUUUUAUGUAUUGUGAUCUUGGGAUUUGUUUAUGGAGAUGUCAUGUGAUACAUUGAGAUUUGAUAAUCUUAUAAAUGAAAUUACAUUUUUAAAGUGAAAAAUUGUUUGGAAAAUUACGUUGUUACAGUCAUGCUAACACGGAGAAGAAUGAUAGUGACUACUACUAUACACCAGCAGCCACGUUAGAAGGAGAUGGGGGCAAUGAUGAUGGAGAUUACAACUAUGCCCCUGCAGCAUAAUUUAGUUGAUGAACAUUUAACAUUAACUGUAGCAAGGUGAGGGACCACAAAACCAUUCAUGGAGAUUUUGUAUUACUAAUGCAAUACUGCUAAACGCUUUAGAAUGUAAAACAAUUUUUCCUACUGCUUAUGAGAUGUAGUUGUCUACUAAUCAACACAUAUGAGUUAC